rnacentral:rRNA from 1 species
AUUGAACGCUGGCGGCAUGCCUUACACAUGCAAGUCGAACGGUAACAGGUCUUCGGAUGCUGACGAGUGGCGAACGGGUGAGUAAUACAUCGGAACGUGCCUAGUAGUGGGGGAUAACUACUCGAAAGAGUGGCUAAUACCGCAUGAGAUCUACGGAUGAAAGCAGGGGAUCGCAAGACCUUGUGCUACUAGAGCGGCCGAUGGCAGAUUAGGUAGUUGGUGGGAUAAAAGCUUACCAAGCCGACGAUCUGAAGCUGGUCUGAGAGGACGAUCAGCCACACUGGGACUGAGACACGGCCCAGACUCCUACGGGAGGCAGCAGUGGGGAAUUUUGGACAAUGGGCGCAAGCCUGAUCCAGCAAUGCCGCGUGCAGGAUGAAGGCCUUCGGGUUGUAAACUGCUUUUGUACGGAACGAAAAGCCCUGGGCUAAUACCCUGGGGUCAUGACGGUACCGUAAGAAUAAGCACCGGCUAACUCCGUGCCAGCAGCCGCCGUAAUAC